rnacentral:tRNA from 1 species
CAGAGCGUAGCUUAAAUAGUUAUAGUGUCUCCCUUACACUGAGAAGUUACCCGUGCAAAUCGGGUCGCCCUGA